rnacentral:lncRNA from 1 species
AGUCUGAGGUAGUCAUACUCAAGACUAAUUCUAACAGGAGUAGGAUUCUCCAAGAUGGGCCUUCGGCCUAUCUCCGACCUUAUCGCCAAGAGGCCUAGUCCUGAUCAAACUAGGACUCUUGGUCCAAUAGAACUACGUAUGGCUUGAUCCCCUAUAAAUAGGGGUACGUAGGCACAUUGGGGGAUCAUGAGUUGAGAGCACGUGAGACCAACUCAAAACCCUAAUCUCAGCCACCCCCUAAAACAAACAAUCACCACUCUCCAGCGACCAAAACCACCGUCUCAGAUCUUGAUUCCGGCCAUGAACCUCAUCUUUGUUGAUUACCAAAUUCCUCUAUCAACAAAUUGGCGCUAGAAGGAGGGGUACUCAAGAUUUUCAUCUUAGGAGGAAUGGAUGUCACACCAUAAGGACGAAGGUUUGUACGUGAAGAUGGAGUGUUUUCUUGCAGGGUGAUAGAUAGGAAACAUGAAGCAUGUAGAGGGGAUGAGACCAUCAAAAUUUCUAGAAGAAGAAGAUCAUAUCAUCAAGGAUUUCGGAGGGAGAUGAUCUUCAACAAAAUUCUUGGGAGGAAACCUAAGGUAUGAGCAAGGUUUUUGGACAUGGGGAGUCAUCAAAGGAUGCGCGCCUUCCCCUGACCGGGCGUGCCUCCAGGUAAUAUCUAACCUCUAUUAUUUGAUCCUCUAGGACUACUACAUGUAUAAAGUUGCAGGCAAUAUGAAGAGGUAGUCGUCUCCAGAAAGAAACAUGGAACAAUAUGGUAGAGGUGUUUCUAUCCCCAAGGGCAUCUCCCUUCCGAGAGGGCCAUCCCUUUUAGAAACAUCUCCCUCCACUAACCAUUUUCUUAAUGGAUCAAGGAAGUGAUGUCAGGCUUCAUUACGUUGAUCCACUUCCUAGGUAUGCUAUGAGCCAAGGAAACAAGUGCAAUUUUACAUCAGUACAUAUUAUUUAUAAUAUGUCGACAUUAUACCUAUGAUGAGGCCUUGAGCUAAGAUUGUAUCUUUUUCAAGAAUAAGAGGUGUGCUCUGUGAAGCCCUCAACGUAAUAAAAAUUUCUUGAAAUAAAGAGGUGCGUGCUUAAAGAAGCCCUCUACAUAAUGCAAGUUGCUUAAGAUCAAGGGGAGUGCUCUGACAAGCCCUCGUGGCUUUAAAUCUCUGGCCAGGAACAGGGCUACUAUAAAACGUCUAUAAGACCUUAUUAUAGAGUUUGAACUUUUACGAAGAGAAAACCCAGUGACAGUUGAAGCGUGUUAGUUUUGCAAGUUGUCUAAGGGCGCGCCCCUUAAACAUAAACUUAGUAUGCUCAUAAACUUGCGAGUAACCAGAAGGAGUGAUCUCUACAAAUUUUAUAUUAAGAUCUUAUCGAGUUCAACGACAUGUCUUUAUUACGCCUAUGCUUCAAAAUGAUGUAAAACAAUGUCAUAAUUAAAACAUGGGAACAGAGAAAUAGUCCCAAUAGCAUCAGUAUAUGCGAUUGUAUGAGUAUUAUUCUUGUCCAAAUUACUUGAAUAUUAUGCAAAACUUAGUGGCGCGUCCAAAUGGAAGCAUCUGGUCCCUCUGUAAUGAAGCAAGUUCUUUUCCCUGAUUGGAUGCCAAGCAUCUUUCUUACAACUUCUAGCGUUUCAUGUGUGUCUUCUCUCUAGUACAGAAGAUGGACGUUAUAAUUAGAAAAUAUUGGACCCAGGAUGGCACUGGUGGCUGGCAACUUCUAAAUGCUGACACAAUUAAUGUGAAGUUGUUUAACGUCAGGAAAAGAAACUAAUACAAAGUGACGGUCCAACCGACCCUCGCAUACAAAAUUAACUUGAGAAAUGCAAAGCCAUACAUAGAAUUGCAAAAAAAUGCGAAAACAUGGUGAAAUAUAAAAUUGACAUGUGUUCGCGUGAACACAAUUUUACCAAUGAAUGAAUAUAACAUUGGAAGCGUUGAAAAGUCAACACAGACAUGUGCAUGCCAUUCAGUUUUAUUUGAUAGGACGUAUAAUCGAUAUACUAUCCUCUUAAACUUGGGUGGCCAAGUCACAACUUGUAUCCUGGACGUUUACAUGUCUUAGUUGAGCAAAAGAAAGUUUAAUAUCCAUAUGUGGACAGUGUCUUGACCUAGACAUGUACUUCAGAUUUCUGUCAUGAAAUUAGCAAUACCACUAUCAGCAGGAGAAGGGUAAUUCUUUUCUCAUUGAUUUGUGGGUACAUAUACUUUCCAAGUAACAACCAGGCUUGGUUGAGGCGCGUCCGAAACGGGGUAUAUCAGAACAACAUUAUUGUUGUAGUUAUUACAAAAGCUAAACACCUGGAUGCGCCCUGGAUGGUAAAGCGCGCUAGUAUGUCAGGACGUGCUAUGCUAUGUAUAGGUAAAAUAUAUUUCGAAGAGAAGAGACCUUCCAGAAUUCGCGUUCUAGCUGUACACGCGUCAUAUAAGCUAAUGCUUUUGUGGAAUACGCAACGAUAUGUAUCUUCUGCUCAAAGUCAUUAAUGGUCUUUUAAUCACAAAUACACAAGAAUGCAGCUUAUAUUGUGUAUGCCGGUACAAAACGUUAGAACAGUGACCUAUAUAUGUCCUAAGGAGUAAGGACGUGCCACCGAGGACGCGUCCUGAAGAGGUGAAGCGUGCUAAGUCAUGAUAUGAUCGACCCUUCAAAAUUUAAGCUAUGCGCAGGUCUUUAUAAAAGUUAACAUUGUCGUGGGUGUUAAGUGAGUACACUUAUAUUGGCUAUAUGUAAGGUAGCAAGUCACCACAGGAGUGUGUGUGGCAUACGAAAAGAAGACAUCAGGUCACUGAGCCGUGCCUGGAUAGUUGCCUGCAAAUAUAUACAUAUAUAUAUGUGUAUAUAUAUAUAUAUAUAUUUAUGUAUGUUCAACGAUGGUGCGAUUACUAGAAUGUUGAAAAAUAUAUAUACACGAAUCUUGAAAGGGCGCGCCUGCAAGGAACAAUUUAACUGAAAAAAUAUAUUGCAAAUGAGAUGCAUAUAUAGGUGAGUGUUAGUUCAUCAUAUGUCAUUUUGUACAACAAGCAAGAUGGGCGCGUCUAUCUGUGAAAUAAUGGAGGAUGGUACUAGUAAAAGCCUAUAAAGCAAUAUGCAUGCAUGGCGCUCCCUCGGUGAUCUAUUCGAUUAAAUGACUUGGGAGUUAUAAGGGUUUGUGCUGCGAGAGGGCCAGGGCUCGCCUUGUAUAAUAUUCUGGUCACAAGCGCGGGUACUCAGAAUGAAAAUGAUAUUUACGCUGAGCUAAGUCGUCAAAGGACGCGCCCCGACAACAGGAAAGGUGGCCAAAUUUAUUAUGCAAUAAGAAAAUUCCUAUAAAUACUUGGGAGUAUUUGGGGGAAUUAAAAGAAAGUACAGUAUGCUGGCUAAGAAAGAAAUAACACCAAAUUAAAGGUGGCAAGAGGGCGCGCCUUGCUUUUGUGAUGAUUAUGAGAAAACUAGUCUCACAAUCUCAUUUUGCUUACGGCUGUGACACGAGGCAGGCUUGUUAAAAAAUAAUAAGUCUCGAGGAUGCAUCAUAUAUGUGAUAUAAUGGUCCGUACGUUGGAGUCCCAAAUCAAGCAGGAAAGGUGGCAGCUCUCAGUAAAAUAAUCGAGGGCGCGCCGAGCUAGAAGCAAUAAAAAUAUAAAAGAAAUAAAGACUUGAUCCUACAUGAUCAAGUGAAAUAUGUUCUGUGAUUUUACGGAGGAAAGUAAAAAAGCUCGUGUUAACGUAAAGCAAAGGAAAAUCGUUUGAGGACGCGCCCGGACGCCAUACAAGGUGGUCAAGUUUAUCAUCUUAUAAGAAAAUUCCCUAUAUAUACUGGGGAGUCUUCGGAAGUAUUUUAAAAAAAAUUAUUACAGCAUAAUUGGCGGCUCAAAGAAAUAACGCCAAUAUAAUAUAAAGGCGGCAAAGCCAUGGCUAGCGGGCCACUGAUUAAAAGUAAUAAUACUAUUGGAAUCAGAUACCAUGCAUGGUUAAGUGCUGUAAACUCACGGAAAGGAGGACAUGGGAAAUUAAUUGUUAUUAAUUUCUAUGAAUUAAAUAUGGCCAUGCAAUUUGAUGCGCUCGAGCAAGUUUGGUGGUGGUUUAAUAUUUGACAUGAGAUGAAUUGUCAAUGAGAACAAGUGAGCUUAUUAUAUACUCCCUCCGUCCCUUUUUACUUGUCCCUUUUGAAAAAAUAACGCAUCUUAAGAAAAUGUUAGUUGGAUAUCUUGUUUUCAUACAUAUCCCUAAUAAAUGUAAUGAAUUAGAUAGAAUUGUGUAUAUAUAUAUGCUAGUCAAACAUUGGAAGUUGUUACUUUUUGAAAAAACAUACAAAAAGUUGCUUUGAAAAGAGAAGUGGACAAGUAAUCUGGGACAAAUUUUUUUUUCAUAGUGGACAUGUAAAAGGGGACGGAGGGAGUAUAUAUAAACCAUGCAUCAAUGACCAGAGAAUUUGAAUCUUUGGGAGUUAGGCGCGCCAAUAUUAAAAAAUAAAAUUAUUUGUUCAAAUGGAAGGUUAUAUGAGGCGCGCCUGAGUUAUUAUUAUUAUUUUAUUUUUUUGACCAUGGAGGUGGAUAGUAGAGCAUUUUCUGAGGGCUCUCUUUUUAAGCUCUUAAGUAAAAAAUAAAGGACCUUGUUUCACAUAAAGUUUGAACGGAUUUUUGGAGGCUCCUUAUAAACCUAAGAGCAUAUUAUCUUUCCUCUCUUUAGGAGCUUCCAUAUAUUAUCCUUAUAUAAGAGCCACUAAGAGUUUUCAAGAUUAAGAGCUUAAAUAAAGAUACGCUUAAAGAUGCUCUUAUACCUCAUGAUUGGCCGCUUAAAAAAUACCAACACCAUGUAAAGGUGGUAGGUCAUAUGCUAUGCGGGUCCAUUGAUUAAAAACAGCAAUGACUUGCACAUGACAAGUUGGUUAGAUACGAAAACAACAGAAUGGUGUGGAAGUGUUGUUAUUUACGUAGUUUUUAUAAACAUAAAAACGGUAAUGUGGUACAAUUUGGUGAGCACAAGUAAUUUUGGUGGAAUGAAAGAGAUUUAAUUUAAAUGAGUAUGCAUUGGCAUGUGACUGUGUCACCGAAUGGAUGAGCUGGGAGAAAAAGCAACGAAGUCGAGUCUUCCCUGUUUGGGCGCGCCAUUAAUUGAAUAACAAGCUACGGUUAUAUAGCAUGGUCGUUAUUUGAUCAAACAAAAAUUACCUGAGGUGCGCCUGAAUACAUUACCCUAAGCUGCCAGAAAAAAUGGAGCUCCAAGAUAUUUUUACAGACUCUUUAUAAAUUUAAGAGCAUAUUCUCUCCUCCGCCGUUACAGGAAAAGGGACAAAAUUUUGUAUUAUGAAAAUUCCAUUGACAUCUCCAAUGUCAAAAGAAUUUGGGGAGUACUUGUUAUAGCCAAAUUUGGCUAGGUCCUUGUUGGGCCGGGUAUGUACUUAGUUUAACUAAGUAAGACAUGAAUUGGGCUAAGAGUCCUAUAUGAGGUAUCAGGACGCGUCCUCCUGCUUAUAAAGUAAGGACGCGACCGACCCUUGAAGAGACUAGUCUGAACGGAAGGGCGCAGCCCUCCGUGGCGUGACUAAUCCGCCGAUGUUGCGUAAAGAGGACGCGUUCUCCGAGUCACAAGGAGAGACGCGACUCUUGAGGAUAUUUAUGGAAGGAGAGACGCGGCUCUUGAGGACGUUGAUGGAAGGAUGCGACCGACCCUCCGUCCACCCUGUUAUGACCAAAAUUGGUCAUGGUGUUGGAGGAGGGCGCGCCCUCUUCGGAGGUGACUGAGGGGCGCGGCCUCAUGUUAAAGAAGGACAUGUCUGAUGUGUUGUUGGAGUGGUCGAUGGGACAAGACGGCGAAGGCAAGGGCGCGCCCUUAGGGGUCGCUCCCACAUGUAAACACAUAUUGUAAGAAGGCUCUUCUUAUGGGAGAGUGUACAUUCGCUGAGACAACCCUUCCGAGGGAGACGAAGACCGUCCCUCCGGGGAUAAGAAGACCUACCCCUCCGGGGGAUAUGACGACCCCUCCGGGGGAUACGACGACUCUUCCGAGGUGUUGUAGCCGUUUUUGUACACCAUGUAGAGGGGAGGACGCGCCCUCCUCCGGACAUAACCCGGGGAGUGCGGUCUCUUGUCCAGUAAACAGGGAUGAAGACGGGAAUUGGGAAGGACACGUCCUCCCUAUCAGGGCGCGUCCUUUGACUCAGAAGAGGCAUAGUUAUGAAAUACAUGAUGAGAGAGAGAGGAUGAGUGAGUCUCCGUGACGACCCUUCCGAGGGAUAUGAAGACUAGUUACCAAGCUCAUUUGGUAGUUACCAAGCUCAUUUGGUAGUUAUCAGGCUCAUCUGAUAGUUCCCGGGCUCAUCCGGGCAUGAUCUACAAUCCUCAAUCCUGCUAUCUGCCGAGUUAACCCUCGUGUGGGGGCUUGAGGUGAUCAUGGCUCUUGAAGGCCCUCCGGGGUAACACGAAGGCCGAUCAUAUGUCUGGAUCCUGUAUUCUGGUGAGUUAGCCCUCAUCGGGGGAUUGAGACGAUCGUGUAAUUUGGCUCCUUGUCUACCUUGUUUGAAGAUGAAGACCUCACCGAGAGGUGAGGACGUGUCCCUGCACCUCGAGGGGUUAGUCAUGGCUCCCCCAGAUAACUUCUCCAUAAGAGUCGUGGUAGAUGCUAUCUCUCGUAGUGGAGAUAUCGUUGAAUCCGUGAUCUAUUUGGAUUAGGAGUCUGAGGUAGUCAUACUCAAGACUAAUUCUAACAGGAGUAGGAUUCUCCAAGAUGGGCCUUCGGCCUAUCUCCGACCUUAUCGCCAAGAGGCCUAGUCCUGAUCAAACUAGGACUCCUGGUCCAAUAGAACUACGUAUGGCUUGAUCCCCUAUAAAUAGGGGUACGUAGGCACAUUGGGGGAUCAUGAGUUGAGAGCACGUGAGACCAACUCAAAACCCUAAUCUCAGCCACCCCCUAAAACAAACAACCACCACUCUCCAGCGACCAAAACCACCGUCCCAGAUCUUGAUUCCGGCCAUGAACCUCAUCUUUGUUGAUUACCAAAUUCCUC